UACGUAGGGGGCAAGCGUUGUCCGGAUUUAUUGGGCGUAAAGAGCGUGUAGGCGGCCUGGCAGGUCAGCUGUGAAAACUCGAGGCUCAACCUCGGAACUGCCUUCGAUACUGCGGGUCUCGAGUCCGGGAGAGGUGAGUGGAAUUCCUAGUGUAGAGGUGAAAUUCGUAGAUAUUAGGAAGAACACCAGUGGCGAAGGCGGCUCACUGGCCCGGUACUGACGCUGAGGCGCGAAAGCGUGGGGAGCAAACAGG
rnacentral:rRNA from 1 species